AUCUCUGAAAUCUUUCCCAACUUCUUCUUCGACCACUGCAUCAAUUUAAAGACCAUUAAAAUUAUACGGACUUCUGAAUUAGACCAUAUAAUAUUCUGCCUCGAUUAUUUCAAAAAACUUUCUCUUGCCUUCCCUUUAAUCUGCUCUCCAUGUUAUAUCAGAGCCAUCUUGCCAAAUCCAAAUUUUAUCAUGCACUCCUUCCCUAAAGCCCCUGAGUAGCUCUAUAUUGCUUUCAAGAGAAAUUCCUAGGAAUUGCUUUCAAGAGAAAUUCCUGGGUAUUCAGGCACAACCUUCAGUCUUGCAUAUUAGGAAUUAUAUGAGGGCUUUGUGAUAUUAUUUGUACCCACAUACUGAGUGUCCCUUUUUGUCUUUCCAAACUCAUAUACUAUACCAAAACCUUACCAAAUUAUUUUUCCCCAGUUGUCCAUUUUCUUAUGCAUCUAUAUUUUGGGGGAAUGCCUUCAAUCCCUUUGUUCUAGUCCACCUUCUUCACCUGGUCCUGUGUUCUAUAUCAGUUAAGCCAUCACUUCCUCUACCAGCUAUCCUUUCAUGUCUUUCCAUGACCCACCAUUCUUCUCCCCACCUGGGUAUAAGUUUCAUAAUGUAUUAUAAUUGUCCAUUUACAAAUCUGUCUUCCUAGCUCAUACUGAAAACUGCUUGAGGCAAAAUAGCAGGUUUUUGUUCUGUUGAUUCUCUCAUUUUAUCCCAAUUAAAAUUUCACAUUAGGAGUGCCUAAGGAAUUUAUUGUACUCCUCUUGCAAGUGCUACAGCUUAAUGCAACAUCUGCCAGUGUCAUUGGAGGGAUAAAAGCAUAAGCAAAUGAAAAACAAAAUUAAUGAUUCAAACCAUAACUGAAAACUAUCUUCAAAAGUAAUCUUGAAUUUUCAAAAAUGAGAAAGAGUUUGAUGGGGUGAUUGAUCCAAUAUUAGAACCAGUAAAAAUAAUUACAAACAGACUGGUACGAGAAUUUGCAUAUCUUUCUGGGUUGCGAUCUAGUGGCGAAGGGAGCCAGAUGAGGUAUUGGUUCAUGUUGCAGGCAUGACUGCCCAGCAGGUGCUUGCUAUAUAGGCAAGAGGUAGAGGGCAAGAUAAGAUUAGGGAAGGACAUGCACCAUGAUAGGAGAGUCUGAUCUAGUUUUAAAUUCUUCCUUCUUUUGGAAAACAAGGACUGGCGAGUAAGUGCUGGAAACUAGAGAGUAAGAAGUAUCAUAACACUCAGCUCAGUUUUAACAGCUGUUUAAAUAAGAUUGGAUUUAAUACAGUAGAUCUCAAAAAAUUGGUGUAUAUGAGAAUAACCAGGAAUGUUUGAUAAUCAGGACACUCAAGAUGGCUGUUCUUCUGCUCUCAGUACAUCCCCUGUUCAACCAGUCCCUGCCUUACCUACACCCUGACUAAACAUCCCUCUUAAUCAUAGACCCUACCCAGUUAAAUGCCUACAUACUUGCUCCUGGCCCUAGUUAGUGAUUAUUCUAAUCUUCAGAUCAGAACCUACCAAAAUAACUUAUCAAAGGGCAGGGAGGAAUGUGCUCCUCUGCUGUUUGCCUUGGUAACUGAUGAAUCAUCCUGACAUCAUUUGGUAACCACUGUCUCCAUCUGUCUGUCUCCACACUGUCCCAUCCCCACUGCCAGCAAAGACUACUGACAUGGCCUGCCCUAUUUUCUGCCACACAUGAGCCAGGUGUUACUCCAGGACUUUGCUUCAGACAUGUAAAGUCCCCCAUCAUUAAACCAUUGAUGUCUCCAUCACUGACUCUGGGCUUUUUUUUUUUUUUUUUGUCUUGAGGCUGGGCACAAAUAGGGCUUGCAGGCCUAUGGGGUGCGGAACAGCAGUGCUUAACUCAGUACUUAUAAUGCCUUAACUCAGUACUCUUUUAAGAAACUCAUUGUUAAUCAUAUUGUUGUUACAAUUAUCUUCAUCAUUAUUGUCAACAUAACUCUUAUGGUUUUCCCAAUUUACAUUUGUACCUUUUUCUUCCCACCCCACUGAUUACGUAAAAUUUUAAUCCUUUCUAAAUACAGACUUUGUUUUAAUCCCUUCUAAGAAGUUAUUUAAAAUUUAUCUACUCUUAUCCUGAUGACUGGGAGGGUCACUAGUUCCCUAAUGAUAUUAUUCUGUUUUUAUGUACUCUUUUAGAUAUAUAAGAAUAGUAGACUAUCUUCAAUGUAGUGGCUGACAUUUUCUGAUUCAGACUUAAAGUUCUCCUCUAGAUACUUUUGAAAUAGGGUUAUAAAGCUCUUAAAUGUUUCAUGUGUUUUUUUGUGAAUCUUCUGUUUUGUAAAAAAAAUUUAAAUUUUUUUUUUUUUUUUUUUUUUUUUGCUUUUUAGGGCCACACUUACAGCAUAUGGAAGUUUCCAGGCCAGGGGUUGAGUUGGAGUUACAGUUACUGGCCUAUGGACAGCAACAGGGGAUUCGAGCUGCAUCUGUGACCUAUACCAUAGCUCACAGAAACACUGGAUCCUUAAUUCACUGAGUGAGGCCAGGGAUCAAACCAGCAUCCUCAUGGUUACUAGUCUGAUUCAUUUCCAAAGAGCCAUGACGGGAACUCCUGCACCUUCUAAUAAUGUCAUCUAUUCCUUGUCACUACAUCAUCUAAUUUUUCUUCUUUGAAGUUUGAAUUACUCUUCUUUAAAAUUCUGGGGAAUUAUGCUAUCAAAUAUGUCAGUUUCUCCGGACAACACUGGAAUGAGGAGUCAAGCUUUUUAGUUGCCUUCUUACUGUCCAUGUCCUUUAGCCAAAGACCACCAGGAAGUCAUCUGUGGUUGAAAAGUUGAGUUCAUUAUUUAUUACAACGAGGGAGGUAUGUGGCAUAGGGAACCAAGAGUGACUUGUUCAGUAAGUGUUAAAAAGAAUCUCUUAGAGAAUUUGAACUUUGGUUGAGUGAUUUGAGGAGAAGGUUUAAGAAAGUAGAACUUGUCCUGAACUGAAUGUUGUCAGGAAGUAGGAUAAUAUUACAAUUUAGUGCCUUAAUAAACGAUACCUAGAAAGAGGGGAGAUGAAACUGGCUUGAUAAUGAAGCAGGAGUAGCCCAUGUUAGCUGGAAAAGAGGGGCAUGUGGUAUCUGUGGCCUAGACAACACUCAUAAUUGGUCUGUUUUCAGACACAAUUACAGAGACUCUUAUUUUUAUCUUGAUUCCUUGUUAUCAUAGAGUGCCCUGGUCUAGAGCUGAUGUUCUAUGAAAUUGUUUAUGCUCAACAAGAGGAUACCAAGGCCAGGCCGUGAGGGCCAGGCCGUGAGUGCCAGGCCAGUGUUCAGAGAAAACAAGGCCUAAACAGAUAGCACUCAGCCAGGUCCUGGAUAUCAGGGGAUGUUUCCUCUUUCUCAUGAUAAAAUUCUUUGUUUCUUCAGUAAUUAAACCUACUUCCAUGAAAUCCUCUUUGCAUAAUUUUGGUGAUAAAAUCCUAAUAGAGUUUCUUUGUAAUUUCCUCCCUAAGGCCUGUGCUAUGUUCAACACAUGGAGUAUUUUAACACAAGAUUUCACUCCUCUUACGUUAGCAAUAUGAUGAUCAAUAAGAAUCACACAAGGAAGAGAUUAAUCUAUAGUAACUAUAAUGCGCAUAAAUUGUUUAGGAAAUUUAUUAGCUUCUUUUUACUUAUGUGAUUAUGAUAGACUAUUAUUAACAUAAGUCUUGCUUAAAGAAAAGAACAUCUAGUAAAUGAUUCAAGUUCAUGAUUGAAUAACGUUCAACAUUUAAGUAACAUGUGGACUUAAAAUGAGUAGAAAUAUUGACAAAUGUCCUAUGCUAAUCAUUUUCUUUGUAGGUUAUUAUAAGUCUGUAGAAAUGUUCCAGGGUGGGGCUCUGGGAAAAGGCAGAGAUGUAAUAAGGCUGUAUAAAUUAUGCUCAAUUCUGAAAGUCACACAUGAUAAAAAUUAUCUUUCUAUAAUGUACUAUUUAAGAUAUUUGAAAUAUUGUUAAAUAUACCACUUUCUUCAACUUACACAUGUAUGCCUUUUUUUUUUGGUCUUUCUCUCUUUUUAGGGCCACACCUGUGGCAUACAGAGGUUCCCAAGCUAGGGGUCCAAUCGGAGCUAUAACUGCCAGCCUAUACCAAGGCCAUAGCAACGCGGGAUCCGAGCCAUGUCUGCGACCUACACCAUGGCUCACAGCAAUGCCGGAUCCUUAACCCACUGAGCAAGGCCAGGGAUCGAACCUGCGUCCUCAUGGAUGCCAGUCAGGUUCAUUAACCACUGAGCCACGAUGGGAACUCCAUACAUAUGUGCUUUUUAAACAACAGCCAUAUAAUAAAGUCAAGGUUUCUGUCCUACACAUAAGAUUAACCUUUUUCAUCUUUUUUUGAUUGGUUUUAAAAUAGAAUAAUGGCAAUACAAAAGAAAGAGUUAUUUAUUUUCCAACUCUGUUUUAUUUAUCCUAUUGUCUUGUUAAUAACAGAAGCUGUUUUGAUUGAACUUCAUAGAGUUUUCCUGUUAGUUACCUUUGAAGAAAUGCUCUAAAUAAAGACGCUAAUUUUUAACUUUCUUCAUAAUGUUUACCCUUUUGCAUGAUCCUUAUUUCAUCUUUCCUAUUUUCAAGCAAAAUUUGUAGCUAUAUUUUAUGUGAGACAGAAAUAAUAAUUUACUGAACAGGAAAAUGAAAUUGAGAAUGUGAAGUUCCAGUUAAACAUUUUAACUUUUAAUUAGACAAGGCUUAAAUCUUUUCAAAGAUUACAGAUGCCCAUCACAGGCCUAGAUUUGGUUUAAUUCAAGCCUCUUAGAACCACUUUGGAUUCUUAAAUAUGAAUGGUUCAAUAAUUAAAUUAUAGUAGAAUCCUAGUAACAGGUUUAGUUCUUUGUUAACACUAAUAAAAGGGGAAUAAUAUCAAUCAAUAUCCAUUGGUUACUUGGAAAAUUAAUAUUUUCGGGAGUUGGUUCUUCUGUUUUAUGCAGGGCUUAAAUUUGCAUAAUGUCCUUUUGGAUUGUUUCUUCUUUAAUAUUAUUGUCUGGAGGUUGGCUGCAGAUGAACAUUUAUUACUGUUCUUUGUGUUGGUAAAAGGGAGUAUUUUGUGUGCCUAUUUGAAUAGCUUGAAUCUAUUUGAAAAUGAAAAUAAAAGAGGGUUAGAGUCAAUCAGUUUUCUUACCAAAAUAUUUCUGCAGUUGGUGUGUUUUUGCACUCUCGUUACACAUUACAGAUACCCUUAAAAGAGCUCUUGUGUGACUUAAUACCCAAAUAAAACGGCAGCUUUCUCUUUUUUUGCUUACAUCUAAUCCUUGUUUCUCCAGAGCAUGUCAGCCUUGGGGGCAAACAAUAGUAAAGGUUUUAAAGUACUCAGAACAUUUGUUUCCCACUGGCUUUAGGCUUAGAUUCUCUUCUCUCUUUAUCCUAUACUUCCUUAAACUGCCCCAAUGCAUUUAUAUUUAACGUACUUACUGGCCAAACAAUUUAAAUUAUAAACAUGUUCAACAGAAAGCAGCUUCAUAUAAUCACUUUCUUCAUUGCCUCUUCCUGACAAGGUCCAAUUACUGACCAGACUAAGGAAAUCAAAUGAUUGAUGUAUCCUGCUUAUUGCUCCAUGGCCAUUUGUAGCAGAGCCCUCCAUCUCUCGACCUUUGUUCCCCUCCUUUAUCCCCGUUCAUAUUUCUCUCAACUCCCAUGAUGCUGAGUGCUGCCCUGAUUCCACAAAUCCCAGCCUGGAAUGUGAAGUGGAGAAAAUGAGAAAUGAGAAGAUUAAAUACUUCCUAAUAUCAAUGAAGUAUGUGAGUGCCAUUGUUAUCUGCUCUGCUGUUUGCAAAGCAAAUACUAUGUUUGUCGCUUCACCCAGAGCCAAUAUAAAACAGGUGCUGUGUUCCUCAGUUCCUUUGGCCUUUAGCAUUUUGACUCUCCUUUUCCUGGGACUGCUACUUCAGUUCUUAGCCAGUUUCUAUUACUUCCCCUCUUUCUACCCUGUGUCAUGCUCUAAAGCACCAUCACAAACACACACAAAAACCCACAGAAACAAACAAACAAAAAUAAGGCCUGGCAAGUGUAUUUCUCUCACUCUUGAUGAUGGCUGUUAGGACUUUCUUUGCAGUUUUACAGACUUCUUUGCCAUGGCUGCCACCUCGAACUCAACCCAUGUAUCAACUAAUCCAAACUCUAUUUAAAAUGAGUCCACCUGCUCUUCGUUUGACUGCAUACAAGUCUUAAUUCAGAUCCUAUGUGUUUCCAGUGUUAUUUUAUUACUCUUGUAUGUGGAAUCUCAUUCCAACUUACUGCUUUUAGUAAUGAAUGCUCUGGGAGUUCCCAUUGUGGCUUAGUAGGUUACAAAUCUGACUAGUAUACAUGAAGAUGCAGGUGUGAUCCCUGGCCCCUCUCAGUGGGUUAAGGAUCCUGCAUUGCAGCAAGCUGCAGUGUAGGUCACAGAUAAGGCUUGGAUUUUGUGUUGCUGUGGCUGUGGCACAGGCCAGCAGCUGCAGCUAUUAUUCAACCCCUGACUCAUAACUUCCAUAUGCCACAUGUGUAGCCCU
rnacentral:lncRNA from 1 species